rnacentral:rRNA from 1 species
GAUGAACGCUGGCGGCGUGCCUAAUACAUGCAAGUCGAGCGAACGGACGAGAAGCUUGCUUUUCUGAUGUUAGCGGCGGACGGGUGAGUAACACGUGGAUAACCUACCUAUAAGACUGGGAUAACUUCGGGAAACCGGAGCUAAUACCGGAUAAUAUUUUGAACCGCAUGGUUCAAAAGUGAAAGACGGUCUUGCUGUCACUUAUAGAUGGAUCCGCGCUGCAUUAGCUAGUUGGUAAGGUAACGGCUUACCAAGGCAACGAUGCAUAGCUGACCUGAGAGGGUGAUCGGCCACACUGGAACUGAGACACGGUCCAGACUCCUACGGGAGGCAGCAGUAGGGAAUCUUCCGCAAUGGGCGAAAGCCUGACGGAGCAACGCCGCGUGAGUGAUGAAGGUCUUCGGAUCGUAAAACUCUGUUAUUAGGGAAGAACAUAUGUGUAAGUAACUGUGCACAUCUUGACGGUACCUAAUCAGAAAGCCACGGCUAACUACGUG